CUACGGGGGGCUCCAGUUAAGUAUCUUCUACAAUGCGCGAAAGCGUGAUAGAGUGAAUCAGAGUGUUUGUCAUUGACAAACUUUUGCCGAAUGUAAAUAAUUCGGCGAAUAAGGACUGGGUAAGACGAGUGCCAGCCGCCGCGGUAAUACUCGCGGUCCAAGUCGCAGCCAUUUUUAUUGGGUCUAAAACAUCCGUAGCGUGUUUGAUAAGUUUUCUGUGAAAUUUUGUAUCUUAAGUAUGAAGCGAGCAGAAAGUACUAUCAGGCUAGAGACUGGAAGACGUGAAGAGUAUGAUUGAGGUAAUGGUAAAAUAUGUUAAUCUCAGUCAGACUAACAAUAGCGAAGGCACUUCACGAGGACAGUUCUGACAGUAAGGGGUGAAGGCCAGGGGCGCAAAACGGAUUAGAUACCCGUGUAGUC
rnacentral:rRNA from 1 species